rnacentral:rRNA from 1 species
CCUACGGGUGGCAGCAGUGGGGAAUAUUGCACAAUGGGCGAAAGCCUGAUGCAGCAACGCCGCGUGAAGGAAGAAGGGUUUCGGCUCGUAAACUUCUAUCAACAGGGACUAAAGAAAUGACGGUACCUGAAUAAGAAGCCCCGGCUAACUACGUGCCAGCAGCCGCGUUAAUCAGUCGGGGGCAAGCUUUAUCCGUAAUUAAUGGGUGUAACGGGUGAGUGGGCGGCUAGGUAAGCCGGAGGUUAAAGCAUUGGGCUUAACCCGAGGAUUGCAUUUGGAACUAUCAAGCUAGAGUACAGGAGAGUAAAGCGGAAGUCCUAGUGUAGCGGUGAAAUGCGUAGAUAUUAGGAAGAACACCAGUGGCGAAGGCGGCUUUCUGGACUGAAACUGACGCUGAGGCACGAAAGCGUGGGGAGCGAACAGGAUUAGAUACCCUUGUAGUC